GUCCUAGACCCCACAUGAAAUCAACUUCAUGCGAGUUACGUGUGCAGUUUGGAAGAAGAGGCACAGAGGCACCAGCACAGCAUAAGAGGGAGCAGGGUGCAAAAGCGGAGCGGCUGUCCCCUAACGCUCGUCUGCAUGUAUUAGCUCGAGAAUCACCAAUCAACAUGGUAGGCGCAGAAUCUGGCAUUGAACGUUGAUAUGGAUGACAUCCGCAUGCAAAGUCGC